AGCAGCCGCGGUAAUUCCAGCUCCAAUAGCGCAUAUUAAAGUUGUUGCAGUUAAAAAGCUCGUAGUUGAAUUUCGGGAUUGACACAUCGGUCGUGCCUUAAGGGGUAUGAACUGGUGUAGUCAAUUUCUCACCUUCUGGAGAACCGCGAUGCCCUUAAUUGGGUGUCACGGGGAACCAGGACCUUUACUUUGAAAAAAUUAGAGUGUUUAAAGCAGGCAUUUUUGCUUGAAUACAUUAGCAUGGAAUAAUAAAAUAGGACGGCAUGAUUCUAUUUUGUUGGUUUCUAGGAUCACCGUAAUGAUUAAUAGGGAUAGUUGGGGGCAUUAGUAUUCAAUUGUCAGAGGUGAAAUUCUUGGAUUUAUUGAAGACUAACUACUGCGAAAGCAUUUGCCUAAGGAUGUUUUCAUUAAAUCAAGAACGAAAGUUAGGGGAUCGAAGACGAUCAGAUACCGUCGUAGUCUUAACCAUAAACUAUGCCGACUAGGAAUCAGACGAUGUUAAUUUUUAAUGACUCGUUUG
rnacentral:rRNA from 1 species